rnacentral:rRNA from 1 species
GCAGGUCGACGAUUAGCGAUGGAAGCUUGCUUCUAUCAAUCUUAGUGGCGAACGGGUGAGUAACGCGUAAUCAACCUGCCCUUCAGAGGGGGACAACAGUUGGAAACGACUGCUAAUACCGCAUACGAUCCAACCUCGGCAUCGAGGAUGGAUGAAAGGUGGCCUCUAUUUAUAAGCUAUCACUGAAGGAGGGGAUUGCGUCUGAUUAGCUAGUUGGAGGGGUAACGGCCCACCAAGGCAAUGAUCAGUAGCCGGUCUGAGAGGAUGAACGGCCACAUUGGGACUGAGACACGGCCCAGACUCCUACGGGAGGCAGCAGUGGGGAAUCUUCCGCAAUGGACGAAAGUCUGACGGAGCAACGCCGCGUGAGUGAUGACGGCCUUCGGGUUGUAAAGCUCUGUUAAUCGGGACGAAAGGUCCUCUUGCGAAUAGUUAGAGGAAUUGACGGUACCGGAAUAGAAAGCCACGGCUAACUACGUGCCAGCAGCCGCGGUAAUACGUAGGUGGCAAGCGUUGUCCGGAAUUAUUGGGCGUAAAGCGCGCGCAGGCGGAUCAGUCAGUCUGUCUUAAAAGUUCGGGGCUUAACCCCGUGAUGGGAUGGAAACUGCUGAUCUAGAGUAUCGGAGAGGAAAGUGGAAUUCCUAGUGUAGCGGUGAAAUGCGUAGAUAUUAGGAAGAACACCAGUGGCGAAGGCGACUUUCUGGACGAAAACUGACGCUGAGGCGCGAAAGCCAGGGGAGCGAACGGGAUUAGAUACCCC